AUCAGGGUCGUUACACAGCCAUUAAAAUUUUAUCUUUAGACUAAUAACUAGAAACAAAAUAUAAAACUUCAUCUAACAGAAAAAAACUUUUAAAUUGUAAAACUUUCUAAAACCUUUUACCAAAAUAAAAUUAAAAUCAAUAUUAAAUCAUUAGGAAAAAUGAAAUAUUUUGUUUGCUAUACUUUUGAAAUUCAUUAUUACUCCCUCAUAUACUAACUCAUACCAUUAACUAUCUUUUUGGGAUAAACCAAUAAACUUAAAAAAAAAA
rnacentral:lncRNA from 1 species